rnacentral:lncRNA from 1 species
UUUAUCUACUCUAAAGAAGAGAGAAGCUCUCAUAUUCACUAUACUUUAAAACCGUUACAAGAUAUGUUGCAAAUGAGUUAUAAGGAAAUAAAAUUUAAAGUGAUAGAAAAUUUAGAUACAAUAAGAGACCAAUACACAACAGAUAUAAAAUUCUAUACACUUGUAGGAAUCUUGAGGAUCACUAAUAAAUAUAAGACGACAAAUUGAACAAACAAAGGCAUAAAAGAACACCAAUAUUUUUAACGUGGAAAACCCCUCAAUA